rnacentral:tRNA from 2 species
GCCUUAGCUCAGCUGGGAGAGCGCCUGCUUUGCACGCAGGAGGUCAUCGGUUCGAUCCCGAUAGGCUCCA